UACGAAGGUCCCGAGCGUUAUCCGGAUUUAUUGGGUUUAAAGGGUGCGUAGGCGGGUUAUUAAGUCAGUGGUGAAAGCCUACAGCUUAACUGUAGAAUUGCCAUUGAUACUGAUGAUCUUGAGUAUGAUUGAGGUGGGCGGAAUGUGUCAUGUAGCGGUGAAAUGCUUAGAUAUGACACAGAACACCGAUUGCGAAGCAGCUCACUAAGUCAUAACUGACGCUGAUGCACGAAAGC
rnacentral:rRNA from 1 species